rnacentral:tRNA from 1 species
GUCCAUGUAGCUCAGCUGGAUAGAGUACGUGCCUCCGGAGCACGGGAUCGCAGGUUCGAAUCCUGUCAUGGACGCCA